UCAUUUACAUUUCAUGCAAUCAAGAAUUCAUGAAUACAGGAUCAUCCUUAACAGGGGUAGUAUGUCUAUGUCCUGAAAUCCAAUAUGUAUUUACAUGAAGAAAACAAAUUCCUCGGAUCAAUGAAUUAUCUUGAUGGCAACAAAUUAUCCAUAUCAAUCUUUCAAAGCACCCACUUAUGAGGACAUGUUAAAAAACAAUUGACUUAAACACACUUUCCUUUUUCUGAUAUACCAGAGUUUUAGAAUCCUUUCCAGG
rnacentral:misc_RNA from 1 species